rnacentral:rRNA from 1 species
GAUGAACGCUGGCGGCGUGCCUAAUACAUGCAAGUCGAGCGAACGGACGAGAAGCUUGCUUCUCUGAUGUUAGCGGCGGACGGGUGAGUAACACGUGGAUAACCUACCUAUAAGACUGGGAUAACUUCGGGAAACCGGAGCUAAUACCGGAUAAUAUUUUGAACCGCAUGGUUCAAAAGUGAAAGACGGUCUUGCUGUCACUUAUAGAUGGAUCCGCGCUGCAUUAGCUAGUUGGUAAGGUAACGGCUUACCAAGGCAACGAUGCAUAGCCGACCUGAGAGGGUGAUCGACCACACUGGAACUGAGACACGGUCCAGACUCCUACGGGAGGCAGCAGUAGGGAAUCUUCCGCAAUGGGCGAAAGCCUGACGGAGCCACGCCGCGUGAGUGAUGAAGGUCUUCGGAUCGUAAAACUCUGUUAUUAGGGAAGAACAUAUGUGUAAGUAACUGUGCACAUCUUGACGGUACCUAAUCAGAAAGCCACGGCUAACUACGUG